CAGCGUCACGUGUUCUUACCGGAGGUAGAGCUACUGGAUAGCCGACUGGGCCCACCAGGUUACUGACGUUAGCCAAACUCCGAAUGCCGGUAAGUGAGAGCGUGGCAGUGAGACUGCGGGGGAUAAGCUCCGUAGUCGAGAGGGAAACAGCCCAGAUCACCAGCUAAGGUCCCUAAGCGUGUGCUAAGUGGGAAAGGAUGUGGAGUUGCAUUGACAACCAGGAGGUUGGCUUAGAAGCAGCCACCCUUUAAAGAGUGCGUAAUAGCUCACUGGUCAAGUGAUUCCGCGCCGACAAUGUAGCGGGGCUCAAGCACACCACCGAAGCUGUGGCAUUGACAUAUAGCCCGGCCGUGAACUCUGAGGACUCACGGUCCAAGCAUGUUGAUGGGUAGGGGAGCGUCGUGUGGCCAGGGAAGCGGCGGAGUGAUCCAGCCGUGGAGGCUACACGAGUGAGAAUGCAG
rnacentral:rRNA from 1 species